UAGGGAAUCUUCGGCAAUGGGGGGAACCCUGACCGAGCAACGCCGCGCGAGUGAAGAAGGUUUUCGGAUCGUAAAGCUCUGUUGUUAAGGAAGAACGAGUGGGAGAAUGGAAAGUUCAUGCUGUGACGGUACUUAACCAGAAAGGGACGGCUAACUACGUGCCAGCAGCCGCGGUAAUACGUAGGUCCCGAGCGUUGUCCGGAUUUAUUGGGCGUAAAGCGAGCGCAGGCGGUUAGAAAAGUCUGAAGUGAAAGGCAGUGGCUCAACCAUUGUAGGCUUUGGAAACUGUUUAACGUGAGUGCAGAAGGGGAGAGUGGAAUUCCAUGUGUAGCGGUGAAAUGCGUAGAUAUAUGGAGGAACACCGGUGGCGAAAGCGGCUCUCUGGUCUGUAACUGACGCUGAGGCUCGAAAGCGUGGGGAGCGAACAGG
rnacentral:rRNA from 1 species